AUGUAUUCCAACAGGAUGGGGAUUUGGAUCAGAACAGGAGUUGCUGGGCCACCAUCUGCUAAGGAAGACGAUGUGUCGCCUGUAACUGCUACUGGAAGUUUUCUCUGGGGAAGAGGUGAGGAAGCAAGAAAAAAGGCAUUGUGUGCCUGGACAGGAGGGGUAACUCAGGUAGGCAAAUGGAAAGCUUCCAGAAGAGCCCCAGAAGUUCCCUUCGUGGCUCAGAGGUUAAUGAACCUGGCUAGUAUCAUGAGGAUGUGGAUUUGAUCCCUGGCCUUGCUCAGUGGGUUAAGGAUCCAGCAUAGCCAUGAGCUGUGGUGUAGGUCGCAGAUGUGGCUUGGAUCCCGUUGCUGUGGCUGUGGUGUAGGCUGGCAGCUGCAGCUCCGAUUUGCCCCCUAGCCUGGGAACUUCCAUAUGCUGCGAGUGUGACCUGAAAAAACAAAACAAAACAAAAACCUAGAAGAGCCCCUGGGCCAGGACCAUCCUGCAUGGCCUGCAGAGGCCAACUUAGCAAGCAUGUUGUCACUGGCAUGACUUCAAGUCCUCUCCUCUAGCCUUUAAAGUCUUUGCACACAUUCAGGUGGUUUACCUGGGAAGGGUGGAUAAGGUUCAGGAGCAGCUGGUCUGCAGGUCACCUCCACAGGGUCCUUCAGCUUUCCAAUGAGGCUACUCCUUGCAGGGGGCUGCUGGCUGCAUGUGAGAAAAUUCCUCACCUCUGACCAACUUCAGAAUUGUUCAUCAGUGUGGUGAGUGUCCUCAUUGGGUUUUCAUCUGUGUGACUGGCAGGUUCCUUAUUAGUGGGAAUAGCAACAUGAAAGGUCCUCAAACAGGGUUGAAAUACUGACCUUACUUGCACAGGUGUGAGACCUGGGGAGGCCAUGUACCGCGGGCCCCCUUAGGGAUGGGCUUCAGACUUGACCCCUCACCAUUCUGGGGUCCAGCCACUACUUUGGGUUUUCUGGAGGCCCAGUGCUAACUCUGAGGUCUCCAUAGUCUAGCCUCUACCUGCCUUUAGUGAGACCCACACUUCCGGUAUCCUGCAGAGGAGGGUCUGUGUGGCUCUUCUGCUGCUUCUCUAAAUAAAUGACCACAAGCUGGGUGGUUUAAAACA
rnacentral:lncRNA from 1 species